CCGGCACGGGUGAGUAACACGUAUCCAACCUGCCGUCUACUCUUGGACAGCCUUCUGAAAGGAAGAUUAAUACAAGAUGGCAUCAUGAGUCCGCAUGUUCACAUGAUUAAAGGUAUUCCGGUAGACGAUGGGGAUGCGUUCCAUCGGAUAGUAGGCGGGGUAACGGCCCACCUAGUCUUCGAUGGAUAGGGGUUCUGAGAGGAAGGUCCCCCACAUUGGAACUGAGACACGGUCCAA
rnacentral:rRNA from 1 species